UGCAAUAGCAAGAGCAUUCUUGUAGGCAUUGAUGAACAUGUGUGGUGCAGCAGCAAGGGUUGGAUAUGAGAUGGCCAAGGCCAAUGAGGUGACCAUGGAGACACCAAUAGCAAACUUGCCAAUGAGAUCAUCCUCAGUCAGAUCAAGAACCUCUGGGCUGAAGACAGAGCCAUUAUCAUAAACAGACAAUACAAUAAGACCAUAUGAGAAUGGCCUUAUACCAAGCUUUGCCAGAAGAGCAGCCUCAGAA
rnacentral:lncRNA from 1 species